GGUGAUGUAGCUCACUGGUAGAGCAUGCGCUUAGUACGUAUGAUGCCCUGGGUUCCAUCCCCCGCACCUCCA
rnacentral:tRNA from 1 species